AUUAACACAAAGAGAAAGCACAAAGAAAACACACUUGCCUUGAUCCGUAUGACACUCUUUACUUAAAUCUAUACCGUCCAAAUAUUUUCACAAUCCGUAUGACCCCAUCCUACCACAUCUUAUCCGUUCAAAUUCUUUUAGAUAAAACGAUUUUUUUCUCUCACUUAUCUUCAUUCACUUCUCUCGUCUCUCAUCUUCCCCUCCCUCAGAAAAAAAAACCUUAACCCAAGUUUCGUUAGCUUCAAUUGCUUCGAAUCUUCAUCACAGAACUCGAUUCUUCCAUCUCUAUAUUUCAGUAAAAAAUCAUCUCUAAUCUUCCCCGAAGACUCUCAAUUUCAUCUUCUACAUAUUCCUUUGAACAAUUCGACGAAACCUUAAUUCACUGAUUUCCCAAAUCCCUGAUUCUCUUUUCGAUUUCAUACUGAAUCCUCACAAACCCUAUUAGGUCAAUUGAAACCCUUAAUUUCAUCACUGAUUUCUCUAUUUUACUUCAUCUUGAACUCAUCCCCAAAACCCUAAUUUAUAUCAUCGGAUUUACAUGUUCUUCUGGUUCUGAAUCAAAUCACGUACUCGUAUUAACACCACCUCUAAUAGACACACCUAGAUCAUUCCCUACCUCUCUUAAUCUAAAAAGAUAUCUAUUUCAUAUUCUGACAAUGUUUAUGCUGCUACUGAUCGAGAAAAGAGGGAAGAACUGAUCUCGUUGAUGUUGUAGAAGAUGAAUCUGUAAUGGAAUUAGGGAAUUGAUGUCUGUAAGAUUUCAAGAAACAAGGGUUUGAGGUGAACUUGAGAUGAAGUGAAGAUUUAAGGGUUUGAUGUCUGUUUUGUUGAUGUAGAUUACGUUGAGGGGUGCAACAAAAUCAAAAGAUUAAGGGUUUGAUGCCUGUUUUGUUGAUGUAGAUUACGUUUAGAUGAAGUGAAUAUUUAAGUGAAAUUGAUGUCUGUUUUUUUGAUGUAGAUUACGUUGAGGGGUGCAACAAAAUCAUACUUAAGAACAGUGGAAAACUCUUACAUUGACAGCUCUGACGAGGGGAACCAAGUGGAGGAGGAUAUAAAGAAGGGGAUUGAGAAGAAGAAGGUGGAAAAGAGGGCAGAAGAAAAUGGAAGAUGAAUUACAGAGGAGGAGAAGAACAAGUAGAAGUUGUUAAUUGAAGGCGAAAUGAACCAAGAAAUAAUUUUUUAUGAUGAAGAAUGCUUCCCCAAUGAUGAAAUGAUGUUAAUCCCAGUAAUUUGGAUUCUUUGCACUUGGUAGGUCAUGAGAAUGAGCAGAGUGCCCUCUUUGCUACGAUGGUUUUGCAGUUCUGCUACAAAGAGAAUUAUUACUGCAAAAGACCAUUCUUCAGUUCAGCUUAACAUUGGUCAUAUUGAUGACAGUGGUAUCUAUACUAGACAUUUAUCCACUUUUUCCCUUAGUGGUUUCGUUCGUUGCCCAGGUAAUUGUUGUCAUUGUGCUGUUAAUUCUAAUUGAGUUAAUCUUUAUUAGGAUUUGAGCUAGCUAGUUAUGGAGAACUUUUGAAGGUGCAUUGUGAGGUUUGAUGGCUUUAUAGAUGAGAAUCCAUUAUCUCCUGAUUAUAAUUAUGUGAAUCACUUCCUUCA